CCUACGGGAGGCAGCAGUGGGGAAUAUUGCGCAAUGGGGGCAACCCUGUUGCAGCGACGCCGCGUGAGUGAAGAAGUAAUUCGUUAUGUAAAGCUCUAUCAGCCGGGACGAAGAUGACGGUACCUGAGUAAGAAGCCGCGGCUAAAUACGUGCAAGCAGCAGCGGUAAUACGUCGGGGGCAAGCGUUAUCCGGAUUUACUGGUUGUAAAGGGAGCGUAGUCGGCGGUGCAAGUCUGAUGUGGAAGCCGGGGGCUCAACCACCGGACUGCUCUGGAAACUGUACUGCUGGAGUGCAGGAGAGGUAAGUGGAAUUCCUAGUGUAGCGGUGAAAUGCGUAGAUAUUAGGAGGAACACCAGUGGCGAAGGCGGAUUACUGGACGGUAACUGACGUUGAGGCGCGAAAGCGUGGGGAGCAAACAGGAUUAGAUACCCCAGUAGUC
rnacentral:rRNA from 1 species